rnacentral:rRNA from 1 species
CCCUUAGAUGUUCUGGGCCGCACGCGCGUUACAAUGAUGCACUCAACAGGCAUAUAACCUUGGCCGAAAGGUCUGGGUAAUCUCCAAAUUUCGUCGUGAUGGGGAUAGAUUAUUGCAAUUAUUAAUCUUCAACGAGGAAUGCCUAGUAAGCGCAAGUCAUCAGCUUGCGUUGAUUACGUCCCUGCCCUUUGUACACACCGCCCGUCGCUCCUACCGAUUGAAUGGUCCGGUGAAGCGUUCGGACCGUGGCCUUUGGACGGUUCGCCGUCUGUUGGCUGCGGGAAGUUCGUUAAACCUUAUCAUUUAGAGGAAGGAGAAGUCGUAACA